rnacentral:rRNA from 1 species
UACGUAGGGUGCAAGCGUUAAUCGGAAUUACUGGGCGUAAAGCGUGCGCAGGCGGCUUUGCAAGACAGAUGUGAAAUCCCCGGGCUCAACCUGGGAACUGCAUUUGUGACUGCAAGGCUAGAGUACGGCAGAGGGGGAUGGAAUUCCGCGUGUAGCAGUGAGAUGCGUAGAUAUGCGGAGGAACACCAAUGGCGAAGGCAAUCCCCUGGGCCUGCACUGACGCUCAUGCACGAAAGCGUGGGGAGCAAACAGG